rnacentral:rRNA from 1 species
GACGAACGCUGGCGGCGUGCUUAACACACGCAAGUCGAACGGAAAGGCCCUGCUUGCAGGGUACUCGAGUGGCGAACGGGUGAGUAACACGUGGGUGAUCUGCCCUCCACUUCGGGAUAAGCCUGGGAAACUGGGUCUAAUACCGGAUAGGAGCCAUUUUUAGCGGGAUGGUUGGAAAGUUUUUUCGGUGUAGGAUGAGCUCGCGGCCUAUCAGCUUGUGGGUGGGGUAAUGGCCUACCAAGGCGGCGACGUGUAGCCGGCCUGAGAGGGUGGACGGCCACAUUGGGUCCGAGGGGCGGCAGAGACUCCGACUGGAGGGAGAUGUGGGGAAGACUGAACAAGCGGCGCCAGCCUGGUGCAGAAGGGCCGCGUGGGGGAUGACGGUCUUCGGGUUGAAGACUCCUUUCGCUAGGAACGAAGCUUUUUGUGACGGUACCUAGAUAAGAAGCACCGGCUAACUACGUG